rnacentral:rRNA from 1 species
GACGAACGCUGGCGGCGUGCUUAACACAUGCCAGUCGAACGGAAAGGCUCCAGCUUGCUGGAGUACUCGAGUGGCGAACGGGUGAGUAACACGUGGGUAAUCUGCCCUGCACUCUGGGAUAAGCCUGGGAAACUGGGUCUAAUACUGGAUAUGACCUUUCUCCUUAUGGGGUUUGGUGGAAAGUUUUUCGGUGUAGGAUGAGCCCGCGGCCUAUCAGCUUGUUGGUGGGGUGAUGGCCUACCAAGGCGACGACGGGUAGCCGGCCUGAGAGGGUGAUCGGCCACAUUGGGACUGAGAUACGGCCCAGACUCCUACGGGAGGCGGCAGUGGGGAAUAUUGCACAAUGGGCGGAAGCCUGAUGCAGCGACGCCGCGUGAGGGAUGACGGCCUUCGGGUUGUAAACCUCUUUCAGCAGGGACGAAGCGUAAGUGACGGUACCUGCAGAAGAAGCACCGGCUAACUAUGUG